rnacentral:rRNA from 1 species
AGAGCGUAGGGAGGAUGCCUUGGCACCAGGAGCCGAAGAAGGACGCGAUAAGCUGCGAAAAGCCACGGUAAGGAGCACAUAUCCGGUGAGCCGUGGAUAUCCGAAUGGGGGAACCCAGCUGAGGAGAUCUCAGUUACUGUCGUAUGAAUCUAUAGUAUGACAGGGGGAACGACGUGAACUGAAACAUCUAAGUAGCGUCAGGAAGAGAAAGAAAACUCGAUUAUCAAAGUAGCGGCGAGCGAAAUGAUAAGAGGCCAAACCCUGAUCAGCAAUGAUGAGGGGGUUGAGGACUGCGAACGUUACGGUAAGACAUAGCUGAAUGGUAUUGGGAAAGCCAGCCGGAGAGGGUGAAAGCCCCGUAAGCGAAAUGUCAAGCCGGGCAGCAGGAUCCAGAGUACUGCGAGACACGAGGAACCUUGCAGGAAGCGGGAGGGACCACCCUCCAAGCCUAAAUACUACCUGGUGACCGAUAGAGGAGAAGUACAGUGAUGGAAAGGUGAAAAGGACCCCGGGAGGGGAGUGAAAGAGAACCUGAAACCCUAUGUUUACAAGCAGUCGGAGAGAGAAGAUCUCGACGGCGUACUUUUUGUAGAACGGUCCGGCGAGUUACGAUCAGGAGCGAGGUUAAGUCUUUAAGAGACGGAGCCGAAGGGAAACCGAGUGUGAAGAGCGCGAGAAGUUGCUGGUUGUAGACCCGAAACCGAGUGACCUAUCCAUGUCCAGGAUGAAGCGCGCGUAACAGUGCGUGGAGGUCCGAACACACACCCGUUGAAAAGGAUGGUGAUGAGGUGUGGAUAGGGGAGAAAUUCCAAUCGAACCCGGAGAUAGCUGGUUCUCCCCGAAAUAGCUUUAGGGCUAGCCUUGGGAACAGUCUGAGGGAGGUAGAGCACUGAAUGGCAGAGGGGUCGUAAAGAUUUCCGAAGCCUAUCAAACUUCGAAUGCCGCACAGAUGGUGCCCGGGAGUCAGACUGCAUGAGAUAAAUCAAGUGGUCAAAAGGGAAAAAGCCCAGAUCAUCCGCUAAGGUCCCAAAGUACGUGUUAAGUGGGAAAGGAUGUGAGACUUCAAAGACAACUAGGAUGUUGGCUCAGAAGCAGCCAUACAUUCAAAGAGUGCGUAAUAGCUCACUAGUCGAGAGGACUUGCGCCGAAAAUACACGGGGCUGAAACACGACACCGAAGCGAUGGGAUCUGCGUAAAGCAGAUCGGUAGGGGAGCAUUGAGUAGUAAAAAGAAGCGCGAGCGGAAGCGAGCGUGGAUGAGAUUCAAGAGAGAAUGCCGGAAUGAGUAGCGAGAUAGGAGUGAGAAUCUUCUAGGCCGAAAAUCUAAGGGAUCCAGAGUCAAGCUGAUCUGCUCUGGGUAAGUCGGGGCCUAAGGCGAGGUCGAAAGACGUAGUCGAUGGGAAACAGGUAGAGAUUCCUGUACCCGUAACAAACAGAACUGUGGGGACACAGGAGGCGAAGGAUGAGCCGGGAAUGGAAAGACCGGUCCAAGCAGUAAGGUACUAUUACAGGCAAACCCGUAGUAGUGAACUGAGCUGUGACGGGGACUGAAACUAAAGUAAGGAAGCAUCCAAGCCAGACUGUCGAGAAAAGCCGCUAUUGUUUUGUUACGGCCCGUACCGCAAACCGACACAGGUAGAUGAGGAGAGAAUCCACAGGCCGGCGGGAGAAGCGUUGUUAAGGAACUAGGCAAAAAUGCCCCGUAACUUAGGGAGAAGGGGUGCCACAGCGAUGUGGCCGCAGCGAAGAGGCCCAAGCGACUGUUUAACAAAAACACAGGUUUCUGCGAAACCGAAAGGUGAAGUAUAGGAGCUGACGCCUGCCCGGUGCUGGAAGGUUAAGGGGAGAAGUCAUCGAAAGAGAAGCUUUGAACUUAAGCCCCAGUAAACGGCGGCCGUAACUAUAACGGUCCUAAGGUAGCGAAAUUCCUUGUCGGGUAAGUUCCGACCCGCACGAAAGGCGUAACGAUUUGGGCACUGUCUCGACAACGCGCCCGGUGAAAUUGAAGUACCAGUGAAGAUGCUGGUUACCCGCGACAGGACGGAAAGACCCCAUGGAGCUUUACUCUAGCUUGAUAUUGGGAUUCGGCAUUGCAUGUACAGGAUAGGAGGGAGACAGAGAACGGCGGGCGCCAGCCUACCGGGAGUCGAUGUUGGGAUACCUCCCCUGCGAUGCUGGAUUUCUAACUUAUAUCCAUGAACUGGAUAAAGGACAAUGUCUGGUGGGGAGUUUGACUGGGGCGGUCGCCUCCGAAAGGGUAUCGGAGGCGCUCAAAGGUUCCCUCAGGAUGGUUGGAAACCAUUCGAAGAGUGCAAAGGCGAAAGGGAGCUUGACUGAGACACCGACGGGUGGAACAGGUACGAAAGUAGGACUUAGUGAUCCGGUGGUAUAAAGUGGGAUUGCCAUCGCUCAACGGAUAAAAGCUACCCUGGGGAUAACAGGCUGAUCUCCCCCAAGAGU